rnacentral:lncRNA from 1 species
UUCAAAAGAAACUCUGCAAACCCUAAAGAAAUUCUUUCCUCCCGGAGAAGACGACCGAAGGCGACGGCUCACGGCGGAGCCUCCCUUCUUCUCCGGCCACCCUACCCAAAACACAACUUAACCCACUAAAAACGACCUUCCGAGUUCGAAUCUGAACUCUAAAAACCCUAAGCCAAACUCAAACUUUCUAGAUCGGAGCGAAAUCCAACCGAUCUAAAACUUCUCCAAUCCCUAAACCCUAGUUUCAAGAUCAAGGCUUUUGCAUGUUACGAUUUAAAGAAAAUAACGGGGAUUUGUUCCACUUACCACGGGGAAGGAGGUGAAAAAUGAUUUCAGGCGAAAAAGGAGCAUUUUUGGUCCGAGUUUGUCACCGGCAAUCCG